rnacentral:rRNA from 1 species
AGUGAACGCUGGCGGCAGGCCUAAUACAUGCGAGUCGAACGGCAGCACAGUGGAGCUUGCUCCAUGGGUGGCGAGUGGCGGACGGGUGAGGAAUACAUGGGAAUCUGCCCAGUCGUGGGGGAUAACGCAGGGAAACUUACGCUAAUACCGCAUGCGCCCUUCGGGGGAAAGCCGGGGACCUUCGGGCCUGGCGCGAUUGGAUGAGCCCAUGUUCGAUUAGCUAGUUGGCGGGGUAAAGGCCCACCAAGGCGACGAUCGAUAGCUGGUCUGAGAGGAUGAUCAGCCACACUGGGACUGAGACACGGCCCAGACUCCUACGGGAGGCAGCAGUAGGGAAUAUUGGACAAUGGGCGCAAGCCAGAUCCAGCCAUGCCGCGUGAGUGAAGAAGGCCCUCGGGUUGUAAAGCUCUUUUGUCCGGGAAGAAAAGCAUCGGGCUAAUACCUCGGUGUUCUGACGGUACCGGAAGAAUAAGCACCGGCUAACUUCGUG